UAGGCUUGACAUGCUAGUUAAAGCGGGUGAAAGCUCGUGUCCGCAAGGGGCUAGCACAGGUGCUGCAUGGCUGUCGUCAGCUCGUGCCGUGAGGUGUUGGCUUAAGUGCCGCAACGAGCGCAACCCCUGCUUUUAGUUGCCAGCGGGUAAUGCCGGGGACUCUAAAAGGACUGCCGGGGACAACUCGGAGGAAGGUGGGGAUGACGUCGUAUCUCACUG
rnacentral:misc_RNA from 1 species